rnacentral:lncRNA from 1 species
AAAAAUUGGAUGGACCCUGGGCUCAUUGCGUCCACCAUGAGCUCCCUCCCUGGAUGAAGGACGCGUGGAGACGCGCUGCAUCAGACGGUCCUGGAAUCGAGCGUGGCCGUCCGUGGAGUUAGCGGCUCGUUCAGCAUCGAGGACGUCCCGGCUUGGCUUCUCUUUCCGUCGGCUUGGCUUCUCUUUCCAUCGGGGAGUCAGACCGUCAAACUCGUUCGUUUCAUCUUCCCUGAGUUUGCCGCCGCCAGUAGCCCUAGACCAAUUGCACGCCUCCACUGCUGCUUCCAUGGAUGAACCAGCCCAAUUGCACUCCUCCAUUGUUGCUUCCAUGGAUGAACCAGUGGCCUGCAUGGAAGACAUUAGAGGCCAAGAAGAUGGAAUGACAACUGUUGAUCGGAUGACAUUUUCUUCUCUCUUGGAGGAUUCACGUGCACUAGAAUUUGAUGCCGUUGGUGAUGGUGGUCGAGAAGACGAACAGAUAACACAGGUUAGUUAUCUGCUUAGAUCGUUCUGCAUUUUUUUUUGACAAAUGUUUUUUCUUCUAUGUUGUUUGGUAUCUGAGAUAUAUUGCCCAUAUUUGACAGAACAACAUGGUUACCAGGGGAGUAGAGAACAUCGGCACCAUUUUACAGACGUCUGGAUCCAUAGAGAAUGAAG